rnacentral:tRNA from 1 species
GUCAGUGUGGCCGAGUGGUUAAGGCGCUAGACUUGAACUUUGCCCUAUAGUAAUUUAAUCCAUUACUAUAAAGUGUAGUAUAUCUAGUACAUUCGUGUUCGUAGGUUCAAAUCCUGCCGCUGACG